CCAACCCCCUGCUCAGGCAGGAAACCCUAUACCAUUUCUGUAAGGUGACUUUGUUCCCAGCCUCUCUAACCCUCUUAGCCUGCAAUUUCGUGCCCCUCGUCCACAUUGCACUGCAGCCAGAGCGCUGUGAAAUAGAGGGACCCUUCCAGUCUCCAGCGCAUCACCUUUUGUUGGCAGGUAGUACAGCCCGAUCGGAAGCGCUCAGAAAACAUGCAAUACACUAACCCUCGAUCUGGAUAACUGCAGGUUUUUUAUCACACUUGUCGGAGACACAGAUGCUAAACAAUGGUUUAUUUAGACAGAAUGUAUACAUGUUGAAGAAAAUUUGUGCUUUAAAGCGUUGUGUGAAUGAAAGUGGAUGAUCAGUUGAUUGUGCGCCCAGCCAUGGUAGUUUAUGCAAUAAACCAUGGCUACUUGAACCCUGAGUUAUAAUUCCUUGAGUAGGUGGGCGAUUAUAUAGAUUUGUUAGAUAAGUAGUAAGUAAAUGAGACACAACUGACCAGAAAACCACGCCAGAAGGCAGUGAAGACUAUGUACGAGUCCACAUAGCCUCAGCCACGUUCCAUCAAUUGGUUUGCCAGAAUACUGUAUGAUGUCAGAGCCUACGUUCCCAUUAGCUGCGCGGGUACAGCAAAAAAACUCCUAUAAGAGCCCUGCGUUUGUCAUAGGAGAUGUUGAUUGGCUGGGUUACUUAUCUGUUGCCAUACCUACCGAUGGUGCUACUGGAUUUAUUGGGGGGGGGGUUUAGGGAACAGACGAGAAGCGUUUGGUGCAGAAGUUUUGCGAGCUAGGUUGAGUAAGGUUUGACAAUGGAAUGUGAAAAGGGACUACUUUAGAGCAACGCAUUUUCCCCUGUGGUUGCCUGGCUGCUCUCUGCAGCUGCACCAUGAUGCUGAGAAAAUGCAUUUGACAUAAAGCACUGCACAAAUAACAUAUGUGUGCCCUCCUGUGCUUUUGAAUCACCUCUGUUUUAUUGAAAAGUUUUACAGUCUGCCCUCCAGGCUGGCUGGAUGGAGAGCAUUAAAGAGAGCCCUGGGGGGAAAAACUCAUCUUGAAUUGAAAUAUGUAAGAGGAUACUAAUAUUUUGCAGAUGUAACCCUCUGUAUUUCCCUCAGUGGUUGGAAGAUGUUUGCCAUAUGGCUCAGCUCAUUUUGUAUCUGUAUUAUUACAUUUUUUAAAAUUCACCUCACUGUAUGUGUCAACUCAAGGCAGUGAACAUAUCUAAUACUCCAUCCUCCAUAUCUAAUACUCCACAAAAGAAUUAUGUGUGAAGUGGUUCAGCCUGACAGACUAACAGGCCUAAAGUCACUCACUGUCUCCUGCUUUCUAGACCAGCACUUUAACCAAUCUGUUCCCUAAUUAUUUCCUUUUUCUUCCCCAAACUCCUGAAUUAGCCUUCACAUAGAAUAUGGUCCAAUUAGAUAUAGCAUGUAUAUCAACAACAAGAUGUAACAGUAUCUGUUGUAGAUAAAACAAGUUUGAUUGAAGACAGGUUACUAUUUGUUGAGAUUAAUCCAUGGAGCAUCUUCAACCUACUGCUUUCCACAUAUGUGAGAGAAAACGAGAAAUGAAAUCCAGCAUACCUGAAAGUUUUCAAAGUGGACAAGUUGGUUUAUAUAUUUAUAUUAAUAUAUAUACCUAGAAAGCUGCAUUUUUUGCAGAAGUGAUAAUAGUAUGUCAGCUGAAAGAUCAUUACCCAUAACGGUUCCUGGGAAUUGGAGCCAGCAGUACAGAAUCUGCAGUAUCAAAUCACUUAAUCCUUAUAAAAGUCUAGGUAAAAAACAUAUAGCUAUAAUGCUAUGCUUUGAAAUUGUAACAAUAAGGCAAGCAGAAAUCAGAUUAGAAAAAUUAUGUUUUAUAUUAGUCACAAUAAUUCACUUUGCACAUCUGGCUUUGCCAUGGUUUGCUGAAUAAGCCAUAAUGAAUGGGGUACACAUACAACACACUAAAACCUUCAGAUUCGAUAACUACAUCUGAAUUUAAGAGUAUUUGAUUCCUUCUAGUAUUAUCAAAACUGUGAGAAGUGAAAAUGUAUGUUUCUUAAUAUUUGCAUUUGUUACCAAAAAGCAUGAUUUUAGCCUAAAGUAAGUCCUCAUGUAUUUAGAAAGUUUUAUUGGCGUGAUAGCAUUCAUGUGGUCUUUAUAAUCUCACAUUCAUUAUAUGUUGCCUUCUAGAAUAGGAAGUACUUGGAAAUUUCAGAACAGAUGUGUUUGGUUUAAGGAGUUGGAGACAGGUGUCACUUCUGCACCUCUGGAUGUUCCAAGCAUCUAUUUGCCUUUUAUCUAAAGUGGUGCACAAUCCUUUUAUAAUUAAUAUUUAAGAAAAAUACAGGGAAAUUCACAAACUCUCCCUACUGCGGUUCCCAUGAAUUUCUUUUUCUACUAAUUUUUCUUUAUAUCUUCCAGGGAAGGAAUAUGGCAAAGGUGACAGCAGAUAUAUGAUCCAUAAUAAUUGAGCUUGGGAAAAUAAAAUGGGCAAGGCUUGAAUGGAAAGAACUUGCACCAGUUCACUCUCCUCACUUGCAUCAAAUUCUGCAGUUUGGCUUGAGAUCAGAUAAUUUUAUAAUUUGCGUGGAAACUGUCACUCUCUGUGUUUUGACUCCCCUCUGUCUUUGGACUGCAGUCGCAUUUCUUUCACGCCAGUCCCAUCGAUACGUGCUGCAGCUAGUGGUGUCAGUAGGUAGGUAUGCAAGACAAGGAGGGAGGUAUGUCAGGAUAUAUAAAUGUUAAUGCAAUCUUUCAAAAGCAAUUAAAAAUUUUUAUUCUUGGUUAAUGUUCCAUACACCUGACUGCAUUUCUUUUUUGGCUUGUCCACUUUUGAUCUUUUCUUCCUACUUUAAACAGCCAUGUUGUGUAUCUCUAACCAUAGGUCAUAUAUAUGGUGACGUUCUCUACUUCUACACUGCAUACCGUGAUGGCUUUCACCAUAGUGAGAAGUGGCACCCUACCUACUUCUGGUUUUACUUUGUCUUUCUGAAUAGUCUCUGGAUUAUCAUUCCCUCUAUUCUCA